rnacentral:lncRNA from 1 species
UGGAAGGCAAUGAUGGUAUUGAAGGUAUGGCAGGAAUUGUUGGUUGGGAAGUUUGCAAAAGGUGCCGAGCCGCCUCGCCUACAUGAAUGCUUGAAAAGGACAAUGCCAUCAUCAACGAUAGAACAAAGCAGAAGUUGGAAUUAGCAGCCAUUGAUAGAUUGAUGCUUAAAGUUGAAGAUUUUACUAGAUUUUCACCAAUGACUAGCAAAUUUUUGAUCGAUGUUGCGAGUUGAAUGAGAGAUACGAUUCCAGUAUCUCUAUUUAUAGGGAAUACUUGAAAGAUUAUAAUAAGUUUGAUUAGAUGUUGUUGGACAAUAAAUGGGGGAGAGAAUACUAGUUGGUUGGCUUUCUUGGCUAAACUACGACUUUGUCAAACGAAUUCAAAUCCACCCUAACUAAACUCUACCAAGAAAAAUCACUACUAGGACGCAUGGAACCUCAUUUUGCAUAUGGCAUAGAAACAACAAAUGAGAAGCCGUGACCUGUGAAUGAGAAGAAUAUCGCCCAACUACUGCUACCAAUUUCAGAUAUGCCUAAUAGAAAGGAUAAAGAAAGUGCUACUGUAGAUUUGUCAAAAGUACCGAUGUUGGUAGUUGGUCAUAUUUUGGGAGUCACUAGUAUUCCUAAUUUCCCAUAGUGCCAACAGAAAAACUAAGGAACAAAUCAUAGACUCUAUAGAAUGGUUGGGAUCAUGGAUUUGGGAAAGUAAGAAAUAGGGAAUGGAAAGAAAGUUUACAUAUCUGUAAUUCUGCAGCAUACUAUUCCAAUGCCUUAACUUUGAAUUGGCUUUUCGGUUUUUCUUUUUCUUUUUCUUUUUGGAGAAAUAGAAAAAGUGAUGCUAUGUUUACAAAUAUCUGUUAAUUGGGUCUUUAGCAGUUAACGCUUAAUAAAUCUGCACAAACAAUUGGUCCUCACCCAAUUUGGGAUUGAUUACAAAAGGGUUACGGAUGGAUUUGAUUGAGCACCCUAAUUUUAGAGGAAAUCCACAUACAUGUUCCACUCUCCAUGACAGUAUUGGACUAGGACCCCGAUCCUUUGAGUGGAGGACAUGCAAUAUGCCACUAAUUUGCCCACAUGAAGAGUUAGUACUUCACACUUUCCGUUUAACAAUUUUUGAUCCCUGUUACAUAUGCAUGAUUUGAAUUGCAAAUUUAAAUUUAUAUUAUGUGCUAUGAUCUAAAUCUGCUAGUAUUUAAAAAAAGAGUAAAUCUUAUAUACACUGACAGUGUAUACACUGUCACCGUUGGAUUCAUGACAUGUGUGUAAAAGUUGAAUUUCAAAUUCAAAUUUUGCUUAGUUGUCAUCUGACAGUGUAUAUACUAUCAGUAUAGGACAGAUUAAUCCUAAAAAAAAUUAUACACUGUCAAUGUGUAAUUAUAAGGCCCAAAAAUAACCUAAGAGGGGGGGUGAAUUAGGUUGAUUAAAAACUUAAUUGAGUUUAUGCACUUUUUACUUAAUAAAAAUUUACCUUCUUUUCUAGUAGAGAUCAAUCAAGUAAUUUUAAAGAAUAGAACAAUGUUGAUCAGAAAUAAGGAUAUAUAUAAGCAAUGAAAAUUUUAUUAAACAAAAAGAAUAAGAUAGAGUAUCAAACCGAUUGUCUACCAAGCUUUCCUCAAACUUGAAGACCAAUCACAAAGAUGAGCACCUUCUCUUUGAUGAACAAUAAUCAACUCAAUGUACAAUGGAGGGAUCACUUCCUUCUUGCCCCAAGCCUCACUUAGUCAAGUUAGGAAGUUUUACUAUCACUCAGAUAACUCUCAACAAAGCUACACUAUUGAAAAUUUCAAACACAAGAGAAGAGCUUACAAGAACUUCACACAACUAGGAGAUCAAAUCUUGCUUGGGAGACUAUUUUCUAGCUAAAAUAUCUCUUUAGAUCUUGUAGUCAAAGUGUGCAAAAGUCAUUUUCUCGUUCAGAAUCGUUUGUAUUUGAAGGGGACCAAAAAUGGGUUUCAUUAAUGCUUCUAACGGAUAGAAGGCAGAUGAAGAGUCAGCUAGCCGUUGGGGCUGUCGGACGUCCGACAGAUUAAUCAUCGUCCGAUCCCAUCGACCGAAACUCACCAAGUUGUCGUUCGGACGUCCCGAUGGGAUUUUAUCGUCCGAAAGCAUCUGCGUCCGAAUGUCGUCCAGAGAGUCAUCAAAACUUUACGAAAUUUUUCGGACGUCCAACACGAUCGAUAUGCGUCCGAUACUCCCGGACGUCCGAUGCUUCCUCACGAGCGUCCGAAGGAGUUUCCUUCUUGAUGUUCUUCAUCCUUUCGGACGUCCGACAGUUUCCUUUCGGACGUCCGACAUGAGUGCCCUGUUUUUGCUUUUUCUUUUGGUUGAUUUUCUUUUCUUGACACCUUUGUACCUGAUUCUCUAAAAAGCAAAACACUUAUAUUUGAAAAGAAUUAGAUAAACAUUUCAAAGUACUUUUGUGAUCAUCAAAAUCAAGAAUAACAUUCUCCCCCUUUUUGAUGAUGACAAAACAAUGAUUUGAAAUGAAAUUUGAUGAUUACAAAUAGGCUCCCCUUUUCUCAAUCAAUCGAAGAACAAAAAUUGAAAAACUCCCCCUCACUUGGCUAUUUCACAGAUUUAUUCAAUCAUCCAAAAAUAGUUAAGCAAUUGAAAAACUCCCCCUCACUUACUUAAGCAAUUUAUUCACUGAUUUAUCCAAAAGCAGUUAAGCAAUUGAGAAACUCCCCCUCACUUGGCUACUUCACAGAUUUGUCCACAUAUCCAGUCAAUUCAUAUCUUUUCUCCCCCUUUUUGUCACCACAAAAGUCAAAAGUAAAGAGACAUGUCAAGAAUCACAAAAGUAAAGAGACAUGUCAAGAAUCAGUAACAUAAAAAGGACUAAACAUUCUUAACAAAAUAGCUUACGAGCAUCACAAAACAUUACAAGUACCAUUACAUCCACAUAUCCAGUUUUGAACAUUACAAGCACCGGAAUCAAAGAAAAUAACAAAAAAAUCAAGACAACCAUCUAACACCUAGCAAAUAGAAAACAGUCAAACAGAAUGCAAAUGAUCCUAAUAUGGCUAGAGAUCCUAAAUGGUAAACUAAGUGGACCCAGGCGUCCUUCGAGUAAGCAGAUACUGAGAGAGAUCCUCCUCCUCAGUGUCUUCAUCAUCUUCAGCAUGUUCACCAACUGGUUUCUUGCCUUUGUCAGAUGUGGAAGGAUCAUGAGGUGCCACCGGAGUAGAGGUGAGAUCGAUGGGAGCAGGAUUCAUGGAGCGAAUAGGAGCUGAUGAACUUGGAUCAUUAGAGCGUAGCUCUUUGCCAUGAGGAACUUCCUCAACCACAGGUGGAGGAAAGAGAAGACUCUUUUUAUCCAGAAAGUCUGCUUGUUGCUCAGAUGACAUGGUGAGCAUGAGAUCAUGUUCAAGAAGUAGAACAUGUUGUUUAAGAUUACGAAGGAGCUCAACCACUUCAGAAUUUGAAGAAGAAGAUGCCUUAGUGGCAGUCUUCCUAGGAUGAAUAGAAUUCAGUGCAACAGAGGAUAGAGUGUGAAGGGGAUCAUGUGCAGCCUUAGAUCUAGAUUUAUUAGACAUAACCCCCUUAUAAGCCCACAAAUUAUCUCUAAAGACAAGAUUCUUGCGCUCAAAAUAAGCCUUAGUAAAGGCAGAAGAAAACGUUUCUUUGGGACAAACACCAAGGAUGGGUACUUUGUAAAACUCAAAGAUCUUCUGAAGAAAUUUUUCAUAAGACAGUUUUCUACGAGAAUCAGUGGUGAAGCGAAGUAAAAACUUGCACAUGACAAAGCCAAAGUCAAUGCGAAUUUUUUCUCGAAAACAAUAAAAAAGAUACAGCUCCAUUUUAUUGGCAUCUGUCCUAUGACCAUCAGUAGGUACAAGCAAAUUUGAAAUGAUUGAGAAAGCAAUUAAAUUCACAGGGGUAAGGUCAUUCAGUUUUGCAUCAGCAGGGGCAGAAAACUUCUUUUGAAAAUAAGACAUCAUCUUAGCACUAUCAAAGUGAUUAUCAGCAGUGGGAUGCUCUUCAUAAGAAAAGAAAUUGGCAAUUUUACUUUUGCAUUCUGGUUCAAUAACAGUAUUUAAAACAGCAUUCACAAUCUCAUAAUCAAACACUAAAUCUACCACAUUGACCCUAGACAUAAUUUCAGUGUGAUCAGUGUCUUUCCUAAAAUUGGCAAAGAAUUGAUACAGCAUUUCAGGGUAAUAAACGUUAGGCAUGAAAAUGAUAUGUGACCAUUUCUGGAAUUCAAAGAGAUUAAGAAUUGACUCUAAACCAAUCUUGCGGAAUUCAGAAAGAUUUAUGGUUCGUUGAGGAAUGAAACCUUUCUGGGUUAUCAAGGAAUGUUUUUCUUUGGCAGCAGCAUCAAAGAAUGGGGAGACAGUGAUUGAUUUGGAGGGCGGUUGAGAAGAAGUUCCUUGUCCGGAUUCUGGCUUAGCGGAAGGCUCUGAAAUUUGAGUCUUUACUGCCCCCUUUUUGACAUGUUUGGAUGAUCUUUUGGCCCUAGGAGAAUCAGCAUCUUCAUCCCUGAGUGUGUGUUUGCGUCCGGCAGUCACAUUUCCUCCUCUUAGUUUCACCAUUGUGUGAAAUGCGUGAGAUGUAUGAUACUAAUGAUGCACACAGUAGUAUGGGAGUGAAUCACACAAGAAUUUUGGGUUAAAGAAGCCUUGAAGAUGAUUGAGCAGAGCGGUUAUGAGAAAGUAGGGUUUUGAGGAAAAUUUGGGAACUUUCGAAAUGUGAUGAGAUUUGGUGAAAAGAUCCGAAAAUUGAACUCGCAAUGAUCAGGAGAAGUUUUUGGUUGAGUCAAUUUUGAAAUGAGUGUUUCAGAAAAGCACGAAUUGAGUGUGAGAAGGAUAGAGGUUUCCGUCCGAGUGAGAAGAGAAGAGGAGAGUUCUGAAGCAAAUGAGGAGGGAAGUCACUUUAAAAAGUGUACCGUUGCACUUUCGGAUGGCCGAACGAAGUCUUGCGUCCGACAGUUUCGUCCGAACAGGUGCUUUCUGGGAAAGCAGCUGAAGAACAUUAUCGGACGUCCGUUAAUCUUCUAUCGGACGUCCGAAAUCUUUGAAAAAAUUAAGAUGAUUUUUCGAUUAUCCCUAAUUUUGAUCUUAGAUGAAUGAAUUGAUCCAUUGGCAAAACUUUUGUAAAAAUAUCAGCAAUUUGAUUUUUGGAACAAACAUAAUUCACACAAAUUUCACCUUUUUGAACAAGAUCACGAAUAAAGUGGUGCUUUAUAUCUAUAUGUUUUGUCCUAGAAUGCUGAAUUGGAUUUUGGUCAAAUUGAUAGCACUAGUAUUAUCACAGAAUAUAGGCAUGCAGUCAUAUAACAAUCCAAAAUCAUUCAAGGUAUGCUUCAUCCAUAAAAGUUGAGCACAACAUGCACUAGCGGUAAUAUAUUCCGCUUCAGUUGUAGACAAAGAGAUUGCAUUUUAUUUUUUGCUAAACCAAGAAACUAAGCAAUUACCAAGAAAGUGACAAGUUCCACUAGUACUUUUUCUGUCCACACGACAACCACCAAAAUCAGCAUCCGAAUAUCCAUAUAGAGCAAAUUCACAAGAUCUAACAUACCAAAGACCAUAGUCUAAUGUACCUUUCAAAUACCUAAAAUCCUUUUAACAGCAUUCAAAUGUGAUUCUUUUAGACAAGAUUGAAAUCUAGCACACAAGCAAACAACAAACAUAAUAUCGGGUCUACUUGCGGUUAAAUAGAGUAGGCUUCCAACCAUACCUCUAUAGUGCUUUUCAUCCACAUGUUUACCUUCUUCAUCUUUGUCAAGUUUUGUAGAAGUGCACAUUGGAGUUCCAACUUGCUUUGAGUCCUCCAUGCCAAAUUUUUCAGCAAUUUCUUGGUGUAUUUUGCUUGAUUGAUAAAAAUUUCCUCUAGUGCUUGAUGUAUUUGAAGUCCAAGGAAGAAAUUUAAUUCUCCCAUCAUACUCAUUUCAAAUUCACUUUACAUAAUAGUGGAAAAAUUCUUGCAUAGAUAGUCAUUAGUAGCGCCAAAAAUAAUAUCAUCUACAUAUAUUUGCACAAUAAGAAGAUCAUUUAACACUUGCUUAGUAAAAAGUGUGGUGUCUACAAUAGUUAGAAUUGUGUCUAACUAACCACAUGCAUCUCAUUCCUCUGUUCAGAUUUCUUUUCACAUAACAAUCUCCUUUCAAAUGCCCUCUUUGACAGCAAAAACUACACAUAAUGGAAGAGUUUAUAACAUGUAAUGGUUUGAUAAAUCUCAAUCCACUCCUUCUAUAUGUGUGAAAUCAUGUGCAUUUUUGUUGUGUGCUAAUGUUUUUUCAUGAGCAGUAAGAAAGGUGGUUGACAUGUUCUUUUUGAGAUAAUCUUGUUUUCUAGCUUUUAAAGUUUCAUUCAAAUUGUCCAUCCUUUUAUUCAAAUCAGCAUGUUUUUCCUUUAUCAUUUCACAAACACUUGUCUUUCUAUCAAGUUCAUUUUGAACAUCAAAUCCGGCUCUUACAAGGCACUCAUUGUCAGUCUUUAGUUGUUUAUUUUGUUGAAAAAGACUUGUAUUAUUUUGAAUGAGAAAGAUAAUUUUCUGUUUUAGCUGCUUAUUUUUAUCAUAAAAUUCCUUCAAGGCAUUAUCCAAUUUUUCAACAAAGGAUUCAAGAUCAUCAUCAUCUUCAUCAUCACUAUCAGAUUGAGAAUGUAUGGAAGUUACCUCAUUAUCUCCAAUAGCCAUGAAAGCCAUUUGAGCUGAUUCUUCUUCUUUUUCAACUUCGCCUUCGGAGUUACAUUCAUUCCAUGUAAUCUGGAAGUUGUUGAACCUUGACUUUCGAUCAGCUUUUUCAUCUUUCUUUUUCUUCAAGGAGCAUUCGUUUGCGUAGUGUCCAAGCUAUCCACAUUCGUAACAUUUGUCCAAUUAUUUCUUGUUGAAUUCUUGUCUUCCUUUGUUCCUUGCGUUUGAAGACUGAUUCUGGAAUUGAUUGCUAGGUCCUCCCCUUCUAAACUUCCUUUUAUUCAAGAUUCUCUUGAAACUUUUUGUGAUGAGAGCAAGAUCGUUGUCAUCACCAUCCGAGUCUUCAUCAUCCAACUGAGUUGGAUCAUUUUCACCUUGAGCUGCCUUCAGAGCUAUGUUUCUCUUAACUCUCGCGUCCUCUUCCUCCUGCACUUUAGUUUUCAACUUCAACUCAUAGGAGGAUAGUGAGUUAAUUAGAGAUUCAAUAGGCACAGAAUUCAAAUCCUUAGCCUCCUCUAUUGCAGUCACUUUACUUUCCCAUUCUUUGCCCAACGCAUUGAGAAUUUUCCUGUUUUUCUCUCCCAAGGUGUACUCUUUGCCUAACACCUCGAGAUCUUUGAUCAAGUCAUUGAACCUGCAAUACAUUUUGUCAAUAUCCUCAAGGGGUUCUAUUUUAAAUGAUUCAUACUUUGUGACCAAGAUAGACUUUUUCUGUUCUCUCACGUUGUCACUACCCUCAUGAAUUUCUCUUAGCUUAUCCCACAUUUCUUUAGCAGAUUUACAUCCUUUUACUCUAAUCGAUUCAUUUGAGUCUAAGGCACUAUAAAGAACAUUCAUGGCUUUGACAUUCAAAGUGAGAUUGAUUCUAUCUUGAACAUUCAACUCAACUCUUAUUUUAGGCCGAAACAAACCUGUAUCUGCAUCAAAAAUGUUAGCAUCAUGCGGUCCUUCAUUCACAAUAAAUCAUAACUCAAUAUCAAUGGAUUGCAAAAAGAUAAUCAUUCUUUCUUUUCAACUAACAUAAUUAGAACCAUUAAACAUGGGAGGCCUAGUGACAGAUUGCCCCUCAACAAACAUGGCAUGAUUGGUUGUCAUCUUUACUCCAAGCCGUUUGAGCUUAAUCUCUAAAAUACCAAACUCUGAUACCAAUUGUAAGGCCCAAAAACAACCUAAGAGGGGGGUGAAUUAGGUUGAUUAAAAACUUAAUUGAGUUUGUACACUUUUUACUUAAAUAAAAAUUUACCUUCUUUUCUAGUAGAGAUCAAUCAAGUAAUUUUAAAAAAUAGAACAAUGUUGAUCAGAAAUAAGGAUAUAUAUAAGCAAUGAGAAUUUUAUUAAACAAAAAGAAUAAGAUAGAGUAUCAAACCGAUUGUCUACCAAGCUUUCCUCAAACUUGAAAACCAAUCACAAAGAUGAGCACCUUUUCUUUGAUGAACAAUAAUCAACUCAAUGUACAAUGGAGGGAUCACUUCCUCCUUGCCCCAAGCCUCACUUAGUCAAGUUAGGAAGUUUUACUAUUACUCAGAUAACCCUCAACAAAGCUACACUAUUGAAAAUUUCAAACACAAGAGAAGAGCUUACAAGAACUUCACAUAACUAGGAGAACAAAUCUUGCUUGGGAGACUAUUUUCUAGUUAAAAUAUCUCUUUAGAUCUUGUAGUCAAAGUGUGCAAAAGUCAUUUUCUCGUUCAGAAUUGUUUGUAUUUGAAGGGGACCAAAAAUGGGUUUCAUUAAUGCUUCUAACGGAUAGAAGGCAGAUGAAGAGUCAGCUAGCCGUUGGAGCUGUCGGACGUCCGACAGAUUAAUCAUCGUCCGAUCCCAUCGUCCGAAACUCACCAAGUUGUCGUUCGGACGUCCCGAUGGGAUUUUAUCGUCCGAAAGCAUCUGCGUCCGAAUGUCGUCCAGAGAGUCAUCAAAACUUUACGAAAUUUUUCGGACGUCCAACACGAUCGAUAUGCGUCCGAUCCUCCCGGACGUCCGAUGCUUCCUCACGAGCGUCCGAAGGAGUUUCCUUCUUGAUGUUCUUCAUCCUUUCGGACGUCCGACAGUUUCCUUUCGGACGUCCGACAUGAGUGCCCUGUGUUUGCUUUUUCUUUUGGUUGAUUUUCUUUUCUUGACACCUUUGUACCUGAUUCUCUAAAAAGCAAAACACUUAUAUUUGAAGAGAAUUAGAUAAACAUUUCAAAGUGCUUUUGUGAUCAUCAAAAUCAAGAAUAAAAGUAAUUCCUUUUUUUUUUUUUUUUUUACAAAAUAGGUUUAAAUCAUGACAAGUUUGGUGAUAAGUGAUAGGUGUCGAACCUGUACAAUAAUAAAUAUUUAUUCGAGAAAAAUAUAAUUUUUGUAUAUAGCGCUGAGUAGGGUCAAAUCUACAAAGACUAGGGAAAAUUUUUUUCUUCUAGAGUACGGAGAAAGGGAGAUUUUUGUAAAAUCAAGAAUAAUUAAACAACUCAAGUAGAGAUAAAAUUAAACAAAUAACCAAUUAAUAAAAAUAAUUCACGAAGAUAAGCAGGGAUUAAAUCGAUGGUAGACAAACUCUAGUCAAAGAUACAUCCUUGCAGACACAGCCCAUUUAUCCGAUCAUUGAUGCAAAGAUGGUUCGCUCAAUUCAUUAACAUGUUAGUUAUAGUCGUCAAUAAGCUUUGACAAUCAACUUUUCCUUAGUUUAUUGAUAAUCAAGGUACGACCAUUAAUCACCCCUAACCAGGAAAUAACUCUAGGUACGACCGUAGGAUUUAAUUUUUCAAUUGCAUUAAAAAUUAGAAAAGCCUAACCCUAAUCAAUAACACACGAAGAGGGUUAUUUAAAUUAGAUUGCACGUCCACUAACGUGUGUAAACGCUAGUUACCACUAAUAUUAAUCAACUAAACAAUUACGGAUUUAGUUGAUUAAUUUGGUAAUAGAUUAUUAGGUCACUUUGAAUAUCGGGCCCUAGACAUUCAGUUAACGAAAUAAUCUCGAGAAAUUAAAAUAGAGAAUGCACAAAUAUCAAUAAAUUAAAGGAACAAGUUGAGAUUAGUUCGAUCUCACAGAUGUUCAGGACUGCAUCGUUGAAUUGAUCUCUGACUAGAUUAGGAAUUUAGCCAUGCCUCAUAGAGAUGUUCUCACACCAAAAAGUAGAGUUCAUGGACACCAAAUCUUUUUGCAAAAGCGAAGUAAUAUGUUUUCAUGCAAAAGUAAAAGAAUGAAGAGAAACUAUACUCCUGUCUUACGGCCCUCAAAAAAGAGACAAAAAGAGUCGCCCUCAAAUCUAAUCUAAAUGACUAGUCUGUAGUCUAGUCAGUCCUCACCGAAUAAGGAAAACAAAAAGAUAAGGCAACUACCGAGAUUUCCUUGUUUCUUGCUUCCUAAUACUAGUAAACUACUAAUCACCAAAGGGAAAGAAUUGGUUGCACAACUUAGAACCAGAUUUGUCAAUUUCUUGACAGCUUCUCACGUGCACACAAUCCAGAGAAUCCGGACUUUACAGCAUGUUUUAAAGAAAAUCUCCUUUUUUAGCAUUUUUCUGCCCCACCUUCUGUAAUUAGGUCGCAAUACCAAAUAUGAGCAAAAUCCAACAAUUAAAACAAUAUUUAGCAAGGAUAAAAGGGAAAUUAACCAUAAAUUUAAUAACAAAUUAUGCCCCAUCAAUAAGUUUACAUAACGUGAAUACAAAUUUAAAAUUUAAAUCAUGUAUAUGUGGCAUACAUCCAAAUCUAUUAGUGUAAAAUUUGACUCUCAAAUAAGCUUGGUGAUUCCUUUAUCUUUUGCUCAUUGAAAUCCUUCUCUAAUAUUCCAAAAUUUUGCAACCAAACUUAAUAGUAGCUCCAAUGUUCACAUAGUAAACUAAUUAGUUAGGGAAGUUUAGACUUGGGACUUUACUAACGUUUUUUUAUGUGCUAUAAGUGCUUUUAGAUUGAACGACCUCGUAUACACUAAAAUUGCAUUCAUACAUUUUAAGGUGCACUAGCCAAAAGAUAUACUAAAGUUGGAACCAUAUAUUUAAAUAAAUUUAUUGGCCCUACAUCGAUGCGCGAUUCCCACUAUUUCAUCAUUCACGCUGUAAUGUAAAACAAUUGAAAAUUUAAUCCACUAAAACUUAAACACCAGGGUGCAAAUUCCGUAGGAAUUCUUGUCAAAAUCAGGGGAAAAUGGUUAGAAUAUAUCAUAUCCUCGGUUGGUAAUCUCGAGCCAGGAAGGUAUUUUGAUAGAUUCAAGAGUGGAGGAUUAUCAAUGUUCCUUUCAGAACUCAUUUUUCCUGCUACCAGUGAUCCUUUAGUGCGUUUUCAAUUGGCCUCAUCGUAAAAAAAAAGUAGUUAAUAAGCUAUAUACUUAAUCUCAUUGCAUUAGUCAAAAAUAAAUCCCAGACACUUAGUUGACGAGCCUUACUAAAUACGGUAUCUUAACUUUUUUGGUAGUUUUUUUCAAUUCCAUCUGCAAUGUUGAUUUAAUUUUGCAGGAAUUGAUUUUUAGUUCAGUGUUGUUAAUUUAUGUCCUUAAUCACGCAAAGUUGAUGAUACAAUUACACCCUGAUAGAAUCAACACAAAUGGGUUAUUGGUGAGUAUAAAGUAAUUGGAAAUUGAAAAAAGAAUGGAGGAAAACCAAGAGAAUUAGAUAAAGAAACAAGCAUACUUGAUCAUCACUAAUUCCAUAAAAAUUUUACAGUGCCGUAUAACAUGGUAUCCAACAAGUAAAAUAAUCACGAUAAAAUUCCACUAGAUCAUCUAGAAUAGAAUCAUGAUCUUGACUAAUUCAUCAAACACAUGUAUUAAAUGGAAGUACAAUAAUCCAAAAUGAAAAGAACAUCCGAAUCCAUAGGAAGAAAUGAAACACGCAUGCAUGUAUAAGGCAGUAUACGUAGCCCCUCAAUGUCUCAAGGUCUAGUUAGAUGGUGGUGGUGAAAAGAAAGAUAGUCAAAAUUGUUUUCGAUCUUGUAAAUAUGUAACAAAGUUUAAGCUAUAAGAGCUUAAUUUCCCAAUUUAAAAGGAAUUCGAGCUUAAUUUCCCAAUUUAAGAGGAAUUAUUUUAAAUCUUGUAUUUACUAAUCCAGAGCUUUGCCUUAAGGAAUUGAUUAAUUACUUCAAAAUACCAUUUUAUAGUGCUUACCGCCGAUGGAGGAUUAUUGUUGCCCUGUUAUCUCAAAAUAUAUUGGAAGAAAAUUCUAAAGGAACAAAAGGGAAAUAGAACAAAAAAGAAUGAAGUUUUGAAAUUUUUUUUUUUUAAAUUACUCAUUGAUUUGAUGAUUCUGCUUCGAUCAAAGUCAAAUUGGAAUCAAACAAAAUGUGUACAUAUACUGCAUUUCAUUCCAUCAUAUAUCCCAUUGGUUUCCUACAUUGAAUUCUAAAUUGAUCAAGCCAAUUUAAACUACAAUUUUUUGUCUGUUUAAAAUAGUGUUUAUAUCCAUGUCUUCCAUUUUUAAUCUGAAUCUUUGGCCAUAGUAUUCUGUUUCUCCAAAACAUAACGAGGGAGUAAUUUUCUUCUUUUCCCUUUUUCAUAUUCCUUUACGUGAUUUGAAGCAAAAAUUUGUACAGUUCCUUUUUUCCAAAAUCAUAUUACGGUACAAAUCAAUAAAAAGGAAGUUGGAGGAUUUCAUGAAAUUCUCUAUAUUCUAAGUAUUUGCCUGGUCUUUUCUUAACUCUCUGGAUUGAAAUUGUAGAAGUUGCAUGUGUUUUUAUGGGCUUACAAGUCCAGAUUUAAGAUCAUAACUUGCUAAAAUAGCAGCAAUCUCCAAUACAACAGCAAUAUUGUAAAUAUACAAGUACAUUUCAGUGAAUACCAAAUGCAGAAAUUACAAUCCAGGGAAUUUUGAAGUGAUAAAUUUGAAACACGAACAUUACGAAAGAAACAUAAUGCUAGUAUCACAACACAAUGAUGAAUUUGAGGACGAAAAGGAUGCCACACCCUGGAAUAUCGAAAUCUCAAGUCAAACUACUAGUUUGAUGGAGGUGGUGAGAAGAAAGGGAUUGAAGGAAUGGAGAUAGGGAUAUUGGGAAUAGUUGGCAUGUUUGGCAAUGAACCAAAAGGCAAUGGUGGCAUGGUCACCUUAGGAACUGCAGGCAUGGUGGGCAGAGGUGGCAGCUGAUUGCUUGGCAAGUUUGGCAAUGCCCCUGUAGGCAAAUUUGGAAUGGAAGGCAAUGAUGGUAUUGAAGGUAUGGCAGGAAUUGUUGGUUGGGAAGUUUGCAAAAGGUGCCGAGCCGCCUCGCCUACAUGAAUGCUUGAAAAAGACAAUGCCAUCAUCAACGAUAUAACAAAGCAGAAGUUGGGAUUAGCAGCCAUUGAUAGAUUGAUGCUUAAAGUUGAAGAUUUUACUAGAUUUUCACCAAUGACUAGCAAAUUCUUGAUCGAUGU